GAUGAACGCUGGCUGCGUGCCUAAUACAUGCAAGUCGAGCGAACGGACGAGAAGCUUGCUUCUCUGAUGUUAGCGGCGGACGGGUGAGCAACACGUGGAUAACCUACCUAUAAGACUGGGAUAACUUCGGGAAACCGGAGCUAAUACCGGAUAAUAUUUUGAACCGCAUGGUUCAAAAGUGAAAGACGGUCUUGCUGUCACUUAUAGAUGGAUCCGCGCUGCAUUAGCUAGUUGGUAAGGUAACGGCUUACCAAGGCAACGAUGCAUAGCCGACCUGAGAGGGUGAUCGGCCACACUGGAACUGAGACACGGUCCAGACUCCUACGGGAGGCAGCAGUAGGGAAUCUUCCGCAAUGGGCGAAAGCCUGACGGAGCAACGCCGCGUGAGUGAUGAAGGUCUUCGGAUCGUAAAACUCUGUUAUUAGGGAAGAACAUAUGUGUAAGUAACUGUGCACAUCUUGACGGUACCUAAUCAGAAAGCCACGGCUAACUACGUGCCAGCAGCCGCGGUAAUACGUAGGUGGCAAGCGUUAUCCGGAAUUAUUGGGCGUAAAGCGCGCGUAGGCGGUUUUUUAAGUCUGAUGUGAAAGCCCACGGCUCAACCGUGGAGGGUCAUUGGAAACUGGAAAACUUGAGUGCAGAAGAGGAAAGUGGAAUUCCAUGUGUAGCGGUGAAAUGCGCAGAGAUAUGGAGGAACACCAGUGGCGAAGGCGACUUUCUGGUCUGUAACUGACGCUGAUGUGCGAAAGCGUGGGGAUCAAACAGGAUUAGAUACCCUGGUAGUCCACGCCGUAAACGAUGAGUGCUAAGUGUUAGGGGGUUUCCGCCCCUUAGUGCUGCAGCUAACGCAUUAAGCACUCCGCCUGGGGAGUACGACCGCAAGGUUGAAACUCAAAGGAAUUGACGGGGACCCGCACAAGCGGUGGAGCAUGUGGUUUAAUUCGAAGCAACGCGAAGAACCUUACCAAAUCUUGACAUCCUUUGACAACUCUAGAGAUAGAGCCUUCCCCUUCGGGGGACAAAGUGACAGGUGGUGCAUGGUUGUCGUCAGCUCGUGUCGUGAGAUGUUGGGUUAAGUCCCGCAACGAGCGCAACCCUUAAGCUUAGUUGCCAUCAUUAAGUUGGGCACUCUAAGUUGACUGCCGGUGACAAACCGGAGGAAGGUGGGGAUGACGUCAAAUCAUCAUGCCCCUUAUGAUUUGGGCUACACACGUGCUACAAUGGACAAUACAAAGGGCAGCGAAACCGCGAGGUCAAGCAAAUCCCAUAAAGUUGUUCUCAGUUCGGAUUGUAGUCUGCAACUCGACUACAUGAAGCUGGAAUCGCUAGUAAUCGUAGAUCAGCAUGCUACGGUGAAUACGUUCCCGGGUCU
rnacentral:rRNA from 1 species